UAGGCACCUCGUUAGGUGAGGCUUCUGCAGGGACACAGGCCACUGACCUCGAACGUCGAAAGACGCCCCGGGUCAGGACAGCUCCUCCCGGGUUAAGGGUUGAGCCCAAGUGGCUUCCGGACGGUUCUAUCAGGACCGGUCGGAUACGCCCGGUAGUGCCGAAACUCUGACGAGUGGGGUGCGUC
rnacentral:sRNA from 2 species